UUAGGCCUAACACAUGCAAGUCGAACGGUAACAUAGAAAAGCUUGCUUUUCUGAUGACGAGUGGCGCACGGGUGCGUAACGCGUAUAGAACCUACCCUCUGCAGGGGGAUAGCCCGGAGAAAUCCGGAUUAAUACCCCGUAGUACUGAUUUGUGGCAUCACAGAUUGGUUAAAGUUUCAGCGGCAGAGGAUGGCUAUGCGUCCUAUUAGCUAGAUGGUGAGGUAACGGCUCACCAUGGCUACGAUAGGUAGGGGCCCUGAGAGGGGGAUCCCCCACACUGGUACUGAGACACGGACCAGACUCCUACGGGAGGCAGCAGUGAGGAAUAUUGGACAAUGGGCGAGAGCCUGAUCCAGCCAUGCCGCGUGCAGGAAGACGGCCCUACGGGUUGUAAACUGCUUUUAUACGGGAAGAAUAAGGGGCACGUGUGCCCUGAUGACGGUACCGUAAGAAUAAGGACCGGCUAACUCCGUGCCAGCAGCCGCGGUAAUACGGAGGGUCCGAGCGUUAUCCGGAAUCAUUGGGUUUAAAGGGUCCGCAGGCGGGUCAGUAAGUCAGAGGUGAAAGUUUGCGGCUCAACCGUAAAAUUGCCUUUGAUACUGCUGGUCUUGAGUUGCGGUGAAGUGGCUGGAAUAUGUGGUGUAGCGGUGAAAUGCAUAGAUAUCACAUAGAACACCGAUUGCGAAGGCAGGUCACUAACCGCGGACUGACGCUGAUGGACGAAAGCGUGGGGAGCGAACGGGAUUAGAUACCCCGGUAGUCCACGCCGUAAACGAUGGACACUAGCUGUCGGGCUUUUAGCUCGGUGGCUAAGCGAAAGUGAUAAGUGUCCCACCUGGGGAGUACGUCGGCAACGAUGAAACUCAAAGGAAUUGACGGGGGCCCGCACAAGCGGUGGAGCAUGUGGUUUAAUUCGAUGAUACGCGAGGAACCUUACCAGGGCUUAAAUGGGGAGUGACAGGGGCAGAGACGCCUUUUUCUUCGGACACUCCUCAAGGUGCUGCAUGGUUGUCGUCAGCUCGUGCCGUGAGGGUGUCAGGUUA
rnacentral:rRNA from 1 species